rnacentral:rRNA from 1 species
GCAAGUCGAGGGGUAGGAGCAGCUUGCUGCUUUGAGACCGGCGCACGGGUGCGUAACGCGUAUACAAUCUACCUUUUACAGAGGGAUAGCCCAGAGAAAUUUGGAUUAAUACCUCAUAGUAUUUUCGAAUCGCAUGAUUUGAUCAUUAAAGUUCCAACGGUAAAAGAUGAGUAUGCGUCCCAUUAGCUAGAUGGUAAGGUAACGGCUUACCAUGGCAACGAUGGGUAGGGGUCCUGAGAGGGAGAUCCCCCACACUGGUACUGAGACACGGACCAGACUCCUACGGGAGGCAGCAGUGAGGAAUAUUGGACAAUGGGCGCAAGCCUGAUCCAGCCAUGCCGCGUGCAGGAAGACGGUCCUAUGGAUUGUAAACUGCUUUUAUACAGGAAGAAACACACCCUCGUGAGGGUACUUGACGGUACUGUAUGAAUAAGCAUCGGCUAACUCCGUGCCAGCAGCCGCGGUAAUACGGAGGAUGCAAGCGUUAUCCGGAAUCAUUGGGUUUAAAGGGUCCGUAGGCGGCCAAAUAAGUCAGUGGUGAAAGCCCAUCGCUCAACGAUGGAACGGCCAUUGAUACUGUUUGGCUUGAAUUAUUAGGAAGUAACUAGAAUAUGUAGUGUAGCGGUGAAAUGCUUAGAGAUUACAUGGAAUACCAAUUGCGAAGGCAGGUUACUACUAAUAUAUUGACGCUGAUGGACGAAAGCGUGGGGAGCGAACAGGAUUAGAUACCCUGGUAGUCCACGCCGUAAACGAUGGAUACUAGCUGUUCGGAGCAAUCUGAGUGGCUAAGCGAAAGUGAUAAGUAUCCCACCUGGGGAGUACGUUCGCAAGAAUGAAAC